rnacentral:rRNA from 1 species
AUUGAACGCUGGCGGCAGGCCUAACACAUGCAAGUCGAGCGGAUGAAGGGAGCUUGCUCCUGGAUUCAGCGGCGGACGGGUGAGUAAUGCCUAGGAAUCUGCCUGGUAGUGGGGGAUAACGUCCGGAAACGGGCGCUAAUACCGCAUACGUCCUGAGGGAGAAAGUGGGGGAUCUUCGGACCUCACGCUAUCAGAUGAGCCUAGGUCGGAUUAGCUAGUUGGUGGGGUAAAGGCCUACCAGGGCGACGAUCCGUAACUGGUCUGAGAGGAUGAUCAGUCACACUGGAACUGAGACACGGUCCAGACUCCUACGGGAGGCAGCAGUGGGGAAUAUUGGACAAUGGGCGAAAGCCUGAUCCAGCCAUGCCGCGUGUGUGAAGAAAGUCUUCGGAUUGUAAAGCACUUUAAGUUGGGAGGAAGGGCAGUAAGUUAAUACCUUGCUGUUUUGACGUUACCAACAGAAUAAGCACCGGCUAACUUCGUG